rnacentral:rRNA from 1 species
GACGAACGCUGGCGGCGUGCUUAACACAUGCAAGUCGAGCGGUAAGGCCCCUUCGGAGGUACACGAGCGGCGAACGGGUGAGUAACACGUGAGCAAUCUGCCCAUCACAUCGGGAUAACUCCGGGAAACCGAAGCUAAUACCGAAUACGACCACCUCCGGCAUCGGAUGGUGGUGGAAAGUUCCGGCGGUGAUGGAUGAGCUCGCGGCCUAUCAGCUUGUUGGUGGGGUAACGGCCAACCAAGGCUUCGACGGGUAGCCGGCCUGAGAGGGUGACCGGCCACACUGGGACUGAGACACGGCCCAGACUCCUACGGGAGGCAGCAGUGGGGAAUAUUGGACAAUGGGCGAAAGCCUGAUCCAGCAACGCCGCGUGAGGGAUGACGGCCUUCGGGUUGUAAACCUCUUUCAGCAGGGACGAAGCGCAAGUGACGGUACCUGCAGAAGAAGCACCGGCCAACUACGUG